AUUGAACGCUGGCGGCAGGCUUAACACAUGCAAGUCGAGCGGGGUGAUGGUGCUUGCACUAUCACUUAGCGGCGGACGGGUGAGUAAUGCUAGGAAUCUGCCUAUUAGUGGGGGACAACAUCUCGAAAGGGAUGCUAAUACCGCAUACGUCCUACGGGAGAAAGCAGGGGAUCACUUGUGACCUUGCGCUAAUAGAUGAGCCUAAGUCGAAUUAGCUAGUUGGUGGGGUAAAGGCCUACCAAGGCGACGAUCUGUAGCGGGUGUGAGAGGAUGAUCCGCAACACCGGAACUGAGACACGGCCCAGACUCCUCCGGGAGGCAGCAGUGGGGAAUAAUGGACAAUGGGGGGAACCCGGAUCCAGCCAUGCCGCGUGUGUGAAGAAGGCCUUAUGGUUGUAAAGCACUUUAAGCGAGGAGGAGGCUCUUUUGGUUAAUACCCAAGAUGAGUGGACGUUACUCGCAGAAUAAGCACCGGCUAACUCUGUGCCAGCCGCCGCAGUAA
rnacentral:rRNA from 1 species